rnacentral:sRNA from 1 species
GCAGGGCGUGGUUGGGCACGCCUGUAAUCCCAGGCUCAGGAGGCUGAGGCAGGAGGAUCACAAGUUCAAAGCCAGCCUCCGCAAUGGUGAAGCACUAAGCAACUCAGGGUGACCCUGUCUCUA